AGUAAGAUAUGCCGAGUUAUACUAGUUAUACCGAAUUAUAUCGGUAAUACGUAGUCAAUGUGUUAGGUAUACAUCGUUAUACUGAGUUAUUCAGAUCUAAGAUGAAAUGAAUAAAAAACAUGAAACAUAUAAAAAUCCUUCAAAUAAAGAACAUGAAGAACCCUAAAAUAUAUAAAAAAACCCAGAACAUGAAGAACCCUAUAAUAAAAAAACCCAGAAUUUCUAGAAUUGUAGAUCUAGGAUUGUAGAUCCAUAACCAUAGGUUUAAACGCUGCAUCUCAGGUAGGUUUGCCACCUUUUCUUCUCCGUUUUCGUCACCUUCUUCAUCGUCACAUGAAGUUUUGAGCCACCGUAGAUUUGUUUUUGCUUUUGGUUUUCAGAUCUAAUCUCCGGGUUAAUUGAAGAAGAGAGAAUAAGAAACAAGAAGAAACAAGAGGAAACAAGAAUCUUUAUUAAUUGAUUUGACGGAGAAGAAGACAGAAGAAAGAACACGCGAAAGAGAAGACGCGGAGAGGGAGAGAAGAAGAAGAAAUCGCAGAGAAAAAAAAUGAAAAGAGAACCGUAGUAGAGAUAAGAAGAGAGAAAGGGAAAAAAAAAGUAAAUAAGAAAUAAAACAUAUAUAUUUAGGUUUGAUUUUUAAA
rnacentral:lncRNA from 1 species